GACAGAGGGUGCAAACGUUGUUCGGAAUUACUGGGCGUAAAGGGCGCGUAGGCGGCCUGUUAAGUCGAACGUGAAAUCCCCGGGCUCAACCCGGGAACUGCGUCCGAUACUGGCAGGCUUGAAUCCGGGAGAGGGAUGCGGAAUUCCAGGUGUAGCGGUGAAAUGCGCAGAUAUCAGGAGGAACACCGGUGGCGAAGGCGGGUCUCUGGGCCGAUACUGACGCUGAGGAGCGAAAGCGUGGGGAGCAAACAGG
rnacentral:rRNA from 1 species